UUCUAAAGUUUGAAGCUUUCAUUUGGUUAGAUUUUGGGGGUUGCGUUUUUGUUGUUUUUUGCUGGAAUUGGGUUUUGGGUUUGAUUUGUUGUUUGGUUGUCUUUCGCAGUUCUAAAUAUUGUUCACUUAAAUAUCUAGGAAAGAAGAAUAAGGAUUGAAAUCGACGAACAGAUGAAUUAGCUAGAUUUUGACCGGAAACCGGAAACCUCACUGACUGUACACACAACUCCAUCCAUUCAAGACAAAACUCCAUCAACAGCUAUUUCAGGAGCAUACUUCAAUUCAAUUUGUGCAUUGUAAUACAAAAUUUUGGCCAAAAUGUACCUCACUUCCGAACAUAAUUUCAAUAAAAACAAUUCCUCUGGAAUUUUUCCCUG